rnacentral:rRNA from 1 species
AACGAACGCUGGCGGCAGGCCUAACCCAUGCAAGUCGAACGAGAAGCCACCCUUCGGGGCGGUGGACAGUGGCGAACGGGUGAGUAACACGUGAGAAACCUGCCCCGGAGACCGGAAUAGCCCAGGGAAACCUGGAUUAAUACCGGAUCCCCUCGGCCAAUCGCAUGGUCGGCUGAGGAAAGGUCAGCCGCUCCGGGAUGGUCUCGCGUCCUAUCAGCUAGUUGAUGAGGUAACGGCUCACCAAGGCAACGACGGGUAGCUGGUCUGAGAGGACGAUCAGCCACACUGGGACUGGGACACGGCCCAGACUCCUACGGGAGGCAGCAGCAGGGAAUAUUGCACAAUGGGCGCAAGCCUGAUGCAGCGACGCCGCGUGAGGGAUGAAGGCCUUCGGGUUGUAAACCUCUUUCAGGAGGGAAGAAGCGAAAGUGACGGUACCUCCAGAAGAAGACCCGGCCAACUACGUG